ACAAAGGAGAGGUCUGCUGUACUGUUGGAUUCAGAGGGGUAUACAGGGUCACUAAUCAAAAAUGCCUCAGGUGGAGGAAAAAUUUUACUCUACAUCGUACCACUUCAACAUGAGCUUGAUUUGACGCCACUGCCACCAGAUGCAUCUGAAUUUGCACGAAUGCCAAAGGCUCAUUGUAAAAAAAUGCAAUACUUUGAUGCCUCUUCAGACAUUGGCUUUGCAUGCUGAACAGUGUGACAACUUGGAAACUUCUGAAAAUGAGCAAUUGUUGCCGGCUUUGAAAAACGUCUCUUUGAAGGUGAUUCAAAGAAUGGAAAAAUGCCUAAGUACUCCCUGAAUGAUCUCGAUAAUGAGCUGUUCAAGUAAGUGUCUUACCUUUUGGAUUAAAGCUUCACUUCAUAUUUACAAAAUUCAUUUUCAAUAAUUUAACGCUUGGUAAAUAAUGUUGGGAUUUUAAUUAUAGCAGUAAUUUUUGUGUUGAUAAAUGUGUAUUUGAAGUGAAGCACUACAAACAAAUGUCAUCUGUAUAUGGUAUAAUUAAUGAUGAAUCAUUUAUAUAAGUAAAUGAUUAUACUAUAAGUAGUAUAAUGCCCUUUCAUCAUCUAUUGCUAACAUAUAUAUAUCCUUGAACUAGAGUUGCAGGUGAAAUAUUUGCUGUGAGCAUUGCCCAAGGAGGACCAGCCCCAUGGUUUAUGCAAGAAUGGUGUUAUGAAUACCUUGCAACUGGUAACAUCAGACGGGAUGGAGUACAUGACACAGAGAUAUCACCACUAAUUAAAAUGGUAGGUCGACAGAAUUUCAUUUAAUACGUUUGCUGGAAAAAUUAAUCAUAUUAUCAAUUAUU
rnacentral:lncRNA from 1 species